UAUAAAAUAGUUUAAAUUAAAACUUUGGUUUUGUAAGCCAAUAAUACAAUAAGUUUUUAUAG
rnacentral:tRNA from 1 species